ACCAGCAUGGCAUAGUGGUUUCUGUGUUGGACUAUGACUCUGGAGACCAGGGUUCGAAUCCUUGCUCAGCCA